AUUGAACGCUGGCGGCAGGCCUAACACAUGCAAGUCGAGCGGAGCGGCGGACGGGUGAGUAAUGCCUAGGAAUCUGCCUGGUAGUGGGGGAUAACGUCCGGAAACGGGCGCUAAUACCGAAUACUAUCAGAUGAGCCUAGGUCGGAUUAGCUAGUGUGGGGGGAAAGUGCCUACCAAGGCGAAGGUCCGUAACUGGUCUGAGAGGAUGAUCAGUCAAACGGGAACUCUGACACGGGCCAGACUCCUACGGUAGGCAGCCUUGGGGAAUAUUGGACAAUGUGCGAAAGCCUGAUCCAGCCAGGCCGAGUGUGUGAAGAAGGUCUUCGGAUUGUAAAGUACUUUAAGUUGGGAGGCGUUACCAACAGAAUAAGCACCGGCUAACUUCGUGCCAGCAGCCGCGGUAAUUC
rnacentral:rRNA from 1 species